GAGGGUAGAGCUCAGUGGUAGAGCGCCUGCCUAGCAUGCAUGAGGUCCUGGGGUCAAUCCCCAGAGCCUCCA
rnacentral:tRNA from 1 species